CCUACGGGUGGCAGCAGUGAGGAAUAUUGGUCAAUGGACGCAAGGCUGAACCAGCCAUGCCGCGUGAAGGAAGACGGCUCUAUGAGUUGUAAACUGCUUUUGUACGAGGGUAAAACCCGAUACGUGUGUCGGGUUGAAAGUACCGUACGAAUAAGGAUCGGCUAACUCCGUGCCAGCAGCCGCGGUAAUACGGAGGAUUCAAGCGUUAUCCGGAUUUAUUGGGUUUAAAGGGUGCGUAGGCGGUUCGAUAAGUUAGAGGUGAAAUCCCGGGGCUCAACUUCGGACUUGCCUCUGAUACUGUUCGGCUAGAGAGUAGUUGCGGUAGGCGGAAUGUAUGGUGUAGCGGUGAAAUCCUUAGAGAUCAUACAGAACACCGAUUGCGAAGGCAGCUUACCAAGCUACUUCUGACGUUGAGGCACGAAAGCGUGGGGAGCAAACAGGAUUAGAUACCCCUGUAGUC
rnacentral:rRNA from 1 species